rnacentral:pre_miRNA from 1 species
GUGAGUUCGAUUGGAAAAUUUAAAUUUAAUGUUUAAUUAACCAAUUCGAAUUGCUUAG